UCCCUCCUAGCCGAAGCCCACCCCAG
rnacentral:misc_RNA from 1 species